CUUCCUGGAGUUUUCUGUGUGCCUGAGGUCUUCUGAAGAUCUGACAGAAAACCUGCCUACUGCUUUUCCUCGUGAGAGCACGGGUGAUGUGCCAGGGACAGGCAGACGAUGGGAGCACUUGGGAAAGUCCCCAUGAGGAACUGGGCACAGCAAGGAGAGCCAACAGGCAUCACCAUUCUUCUUGUCUAUACAUGAACUUAAUCAUUAUAAAAAGCGGUACGUAUAAUUCCAUAGCUGAAGGUAAACUAUUAUUAAGAUGGAAAAAUGCAGUGAGGAUAGUUUUGGCCAAGGACCAGAUCUGUACUCAAAGUCAUAGACAUACAUCACUUUGACAAAGAUGACCAGAGCUGUGCCAACAUGCUUGUUUUUUCCCCCAUCUCUUGAGAUAUGGUCCCAUAAGAGAGAUGUGCGUUACCUUCAGGAGAGAAGACAGCCAAGCUCCGGGCACUCAGUAUGCUUGAAAUAAACUGGCCUAAUAAUUCAUCUGAGUCUACCUAGUUUUUAAUUGCCUAGUCAACCAAAAUCACUCUCUGAUCAAACAGAUCUGUUGUGUCAGCUUUGAUUUCUCCUUCUAAUCUUCUCACCUAUCAAUCUGCCAUCAGCUGCUGAACUGUCAUCUGUGAAAUGCUAAUGAAAUACAUUGUGGCUGUGCUUUGCUGGCCCAGUCUGAUAGCAUCCUUUCUGGGAGGAAAAAAAAAAAGAGCAAGCAGGCACACACAGUCCCAGAAGGAACUAAGGCAGUGACUGACACGUGGUGCUGUGCAGGGAAGGGCACAAGUGUGAAUGAGUGACUAUGGGGACACUGAUGGUGACACUCUCCUAGUUAAGAACCUAGGAACAACUACAGCGGAUGGGACCAAAUGCUCUCUGAAACCAACAUCCUUCUCGAAAUCUGGCUAGUAAAAGACGCAGAGGAAAACUGGAGAAGCACAGAAAAGAUUUGUCCAGAAAUACAAUGCUAGUUUGCUAUGUCUUGCAGCAAAGUGAAUUCUUGAAAUCUUUGGAGAUGUUUUUGUGCUCAGGAGCCCUUGGCAAACUUUUCUUCUGUGUGUUUGUCCACCUGUUUUCAUAUUCCUGUAACUUAGCAUUCUCAGCAUCCAAAAUUAGGAGACCAUUUAUUCACCAUUUCUGCUGUUAACAGAUAUUCAAAGGCCCUGUUCUCUUUCGGGGAGAGCCAGGUACUUUCCCCUUCAAGCCUUC
ensembl:lncRNA